AUACGGAGGGUGCAAGCGUUAAUCGGAAUUACUGGGCGUAAAGAGUACGUAGGUGGUUUGUUAAGUCAGAUGUGAAAGCCCCGGGCUCAACCUGGGAACUGCAUUUGAAACUGGCAAACUAGAGUAUGGUAGAGGGGGGUAGAAUUUCUAGUGUAGCGGUGAAAUGCGUAGAUAUUAGAAGGAAUACCAGUGGCGAAGGCGGCCCCCUGGACCAAUACUGACACUGAGGUACGAAAGCGUGGGUAGCGAACAGGAUUAGAUACCCCAGUAGUCC
rnacentral:rRNA from 1 species